rnacentral:rRNA from 1 species
GAUGAACGCUGGCGGCGUGCCUAAUACAUGCAAGUCGAGCGAACAGACGAGGAGCUUGCUCCUCUGACGUUAGCGGCGGACGGGUGAGUAACACGUGGAUAACCUACCUAUAAGACUGGGAUAACUUCGGGAAACCGGAGCUAAUACCGGAUAAUAUAUUGAACCGCAUGGUUCAAUAGUGAAAGACGGUUUUGCUGUCACUUAUAGAUGGAUCCGCGCCGCAUUAGCUAGUUGGUAAGGUAACGGCUUACCAAGGCAACGAUGCGUAGCCGACCUGAGAGGGUGAUAGGCCACACUGGAACGGAGACACGGUCCAGACUCCUACGGGAGGCAGCAGUAGGGAAUCUGCCGCAAUGGGCGAAAGCCUGACGGAGCAACGCCGCGUGAGUGAUGAAGGUCUUCGGAUCGUAAAACUCUGUUAUUAGGGAAGAACAAAUGUGUAAGUAACUAUGCACGUCUUGACGGUACCUAAUCAGAAAGCCACGGCUAACUACGUG